GACGAACGCUGGCGGCGUGCUUAACACAUGCAAGUCGAACGGAAAGGCCCUGCUUUUGUGGGGUGCUCGAGUGGCGAACGGGUGAGUAACACGUGAGUAACCUGCCCUUGACUUUGGGAUAACUUCAGGAAACUGGGGCUAAUACCGGAUAGGAGCUCCUGCUGCAUGGUGGGGGUUGGAAAGUUUCGGCGGUUGGGGAUGGACUCGCGGCUUAUCAGCUUGUUGGUGGGGUAGUGGCUUACCAAGGCUUUGACGGGUAGCCGGCCUGAGAGGGUGACCGGCCACAUUGGGCCUGAGGUACGGCCCAGACUCCUACGGGAGGCAGCAGUGGGGAAUAUUGCACGAUGGGCGGAAGCCUGAUGCAGCAACGCCGCGUGCGGGAUGACGGCCUUCGGGUUGUAAACCGCUUUCGCCUGUGACGAAGCGUGAGUGACGGUAAUGGGUAAAGAAGCACCGGCUAACUACGUG
rnacentral:rRNA from 1 species